ACGAACGCUGGCGGCGUGCUUAACACAUGCCAGUCGAACGGAAAGGCCCUGCUUUUGUGGGGUGCUCGAGUGGCGAACGGGUGAGUAACACGUGAGUAACCUGCCCUUGACUUUGGGAUAACUUCAGGAAACUGGGGCUAAUACCGGAUAGGAGCUCCUGCUGCAUGGUGGGGGUUGGAAAGUUUCGGCGGUUGGGGUUGGACUCGCGGCUUAUCAGCUUGUUGGUGGGGUAGUGGCUUACCAAGGCUUUGACGGGUAGCCGGCCUGAGAGGGUGACCGGCCACAUUGGGACUGAGAUACGGCCCAGACUCCUACGGGAGGCAGCAGUGGGGAAUAUUGCACAAUGGGCGGAAGCCUGAUGCAGCAACGCCGCGUGCGGGAUGACGGCCUUCGGGUUGUAAACCGCUUUCGCCUGUGACGAAGCGUGAGUGACGGUAAUGGGUAAAGAAGCACCGGCUAACUACGUG
rnacentral:rRNA from 1 species